GAAAUACAUAUACUGAGCAACUAUUUCUGUAGGUUAUAUAGAGAGAUAUUGGUUUUUAGCUGUAGCAGUAAUAAGUUUUUAAGCAAAAUAAAUAUGAACAUUUUUUUAUUCUUAGUUUUUUGCUUCAAUGAAUUUUAUUCUUUUUAGUCAUACUGAGGAAAGUAACUGGAAACUUGUUUCACACACAUCUGAUUUGUGUCAAGCUGGUUGUAGAUGGAUACUCAGCCUACCCUCAGAAUAUACCCUUCUAUGCUUGUAGAUAUCACAACAAGGUGGGAAAAGGCUAUCAGACCAGCCCAAAACCACCUCUUCCUGAGCCCUGGAGAAAGAUAUUGGUGGUGUUAAAAAUCACCAUUAUACUAGACAGUGUUGUGGUUAUCCUAACGAUAAUAUAUACCAAGGGAAAGCAGUCUCUCAGAGAAAGAAUUUAUCAUACGUGUGGUCCAAAUAAAGAAUACAUUAAAGUUUAGUAUCUUCAAAAAGAAGAUCCAUACCUAAAUGCUGCAACCAGCUCUACCUACAAGGUAUUCUAUAUUCGUGGGACCCUGAAGACUGCUACCACACAUCAUUUUGUUUCUCUCUAUUAGGAGCACAUUGCAGAAUGCCUAUAUUCCCCAACGUACGUUCAGGGGCCAUGGAGGGUACGCAACCUCAUUGUUAUAGAUGUCCCUUGCUUCUUCACACAGCAGGUUUCACUUUUAGUUUUGGGGACUGCAAAGCUAAGAUGCUGAUCACAAACAACCACAUGGCUGCUUCACUAUCUAAUAAGGUGGCUUUGAUGUUCUGAUUGAAGACUGUUUGAGCCUGCUGGUGCUGCAAGGAGAGCAGGAGAAGUAAAGGUCUUUGCUCCUCUCAUCUCGGGUCCUCCUGUCAGCAGCCUUUCUACCAUCCAAAGCUGGAGCCAGCAUCCUCGAAUGAGUGCUGUUGCCACUGCUUCAUUUCAUUCUAGGAUGAAACAGAAUGGCAGAGGAAUUUUCUCCUGCUGAUAAUCCUCUUUGUGAAACAGUGCUAUGCCAAGUGCUCAGGACGCUGUUUCUUCAUCAAAGUCCAGGUAGAGUAAUCUUCCUUUCCACAGAGCAGCUGCUGUAGUGCUUGACUUGCUUUGCCCAUCUCUCACCACUGCCACCAGAAAAACACAAAGAAGGAGGGAGAGGCAUUGACACUGACAUUUUCACGCCUGAAAAUACCUUGGAAGGUCAUUUCUAUGCAAUUUUUUGACUGCAGAGAAGUAAAAGCAAGGCCAAAAUCUUUAGUUUCUGAAGUCAAG
ensembl:lncRNA